rnacentral:rRNA from 1 species
AACGAACGCUGGCGGCAGGCUUAACACAUGCAAGUCGAGCGCCCCGCAAGGGGAGCGGCAGACGGGUGAGUAACGCGUGGGAAUCUACCGAGCCCUAAGGAAUAGCUCCGGGAAACUGGAAUUAAUACCUUAUACGCCCUAUUGGGGAAAGAUUUAUCGGGGUUUGAUGAGCCCGCGUUGGAUUAGCUAGUUGGUGGGGUAAAGGCAUACCAAGGCGACGAUCCAUAGCUGGUCUGAGAGGAUGAUCAGCCACAUUGGGACUGAGACACGGCCCAAACUCCUACGGGAGGCAGCAUUGGGGAAUAUUGGACAAUGGGCGCAAGCCUGAUCCAGCCAUGCCGCGUGAGUGAUGAAGGUCUUAGGAUUGUAAAGCUCUUUCACCGGUGAAGAUAAUGACGGUAACCGGAGAAGAAGCCCCGGCUAACUUCGUGCCAGCCGCCGCCGUAA